UGGUGGAGUGAUUUGUCUGGUUAAUUCCGAUAACGAACGAGACCUUAACCUGCUAACUAGUUUACGAAACGCAAGUUUCGGCAAACUUCUUAGAGGGACUAUCUGUGACUAACAGAUGGAAGUUUGAGGCAAUAACA
rnacentral:rRNA from 1 species